ensembl:lncRNA
UUACCACGAGCACCACCUGGGAAACCUGUAGAUGUGCACCCAUGCAUGCAAAGUUGCUUCAGUCGUGUCCAACUCUUUGAUACCCGAGGGACUGUAGCCCGCCAGGCUCCUCUGUCCGUGAAAUUCUCCAGGCAAGAACACUGGAGUGGAUUCCCAUGCCCUCCUCUAGCAGAUCUUCCCAACCAAGAGAUCAAAGUCUCUUACAUCUCCUGAAUUGGCAGGCAGGUUCUUAACCAUUAGUGCCACCUGGGAAGCCCCGUGUAUAUACGUGAUUGUACAAAACCUUCCCUGUUUUAAAUUAUUUCACUACUAUGUAUUUCCAUCUCUUAAAUAAAAUGGAAAGUUUAUAUGAGUUUCAUAAUGUCUUAGUGUUAAACAGAUUUUGCUACACAGAAAACUGGACUUUAUUUUUAUUCUCCACAGGACUUAGAAAGUUAAUUAACAUAGUGAAGAUAUUCAGCGAAUGUUGGUACAGAGAAUUAGUGAAUUACAGGAUGGAUGAAUGGGUAAAUAAAUUAACAAGCCUACAUUUAGUAAUAAAGAGUUUUAAAAGCUAAACUCCUUGUGCUUAUACAUACCAAGAGUAUACAAACUAGUAAUUCCAGGAUAGCACUGCAUGUGAGAAACACAACUGAAAACCAAAGGCAGCACCUUUCUGACCAGGUUGCUUUUAGCAAUCUAAGAUGCCUAUAAAAUGCCUAUUACAGACUGAGAGAAAAAAUUAACUAGCACUUCCAUCAUAUUAACCUUGCCUACUGGGGGGCUACAGUCCAUGGGAUCGCAGAGUCAGACACAACUGAGCAAGUAACACAUAUUUUAUGUAAACAGAAGCCGUAAACCUUUUGUGGUAUCGGUUCACCCUCUCUCCAUAAUUAUCUUGAAAUUACUUUUUCUGGCCAGCAAUUUGCCCUCACCCCUAACACCNNNNNNNNNNNNNNNNNNNNNNNNNNNNNNNNNNNNNNNNNNNNNNNNNNNNNNNNNNNNNNNNNNNNNNNNNNNNNNNNNNNNNNNNNNNNNNNNNNNGCCAGCAAUUUGCCCUCACCCCUAACACCUCCAGGACUGGAGACUGAUUGGCUGAAGUCUUUGGAAUUAACUUCGACAAGGAGCAAAGUGAAGCUCAUGAAACUGAGUGCAAGACAAGCUGACGGGACUCACUCCUGUGCUGAGUGCCCCGGCUUUUCUAUAAUCCUUGGUUGACCUUUCCUGGCAGUGAAAACAGGAUCCACUAAAAAAAAAAAUCUGUGAUAGUGAAACUGGACAGAAAAGCAGCAGGGACCUUAACAGAUUUCCACUGCCUACGACCAUGGUUCUCAAAGUGGUCUCCAGACCACCAGCAGCAGCAGCACCUGGGAACUCAUUGUACUAGACUGCUGAGGCUACCAUAACAAAACACAGCUGGUUGGGUGGAGUCAACAGUGAACAUUUGUUUUCUGGCCAGUUUGGUUUCCAGUGAGAGGUCUCUUCCUUAUUUUAUAAGCCACCAAUCCAAUCAGUUUAGGAACCUCGCUUAGCCUUAAUAAACUUCUAAAAGCUGUGUUUCAAAUACUUUGGGGAUAAGGACUUCAACACACAAAUUCGGGAGGACACAGUUCAGCCCACAGCACUGGUAACAGAUGAAAAUUCUGGAGCCCCGCCUCGGAUCUAUCAAAUCAGAAAUUCAGGAAAUGGAGUCCUGCACUUUGUGUCUUAUUAAUCUCUGCUGGCAAUUUGCAUGCAUAUUAAGGCCUGAGAAGCACAAGCCUUCAGGAAAAAUUCCCAGCCUUGCAUUUCAUUUUCUCCAUAGGUUUUCCCAUUUUUACUUUCCAACCUUAUUUCCUAUCGCUCUUGGCCAUGAACUCUGCUUCUGCUAAACUAUUUCUCACCAUGGCCUGAAAGAUCGUUUGUACUCUGUCUUCUAGACUCUUGUUUACACUCUUUCACCAACCUCAAAUUGUCUUUCGACCUCUUUCAUUAAAGCAUCACUUUAACAUCUCAGCCACGGUCAUGACUUCCUUCUCCUGAUAGCAGAAGCCCUAAUUGUCUGAACUUAUCAUUUUCAUAUUUUACAGGCUUUACUUUCUCAGAGUUCAUAGGUUAUACUCAUCUGUAAUUUUAGCACAAGACUUUGCACAUAAAAAGUACUUAGUCUCCAAAAUAUUAUAUACUGUCUUGCUUAUAACUCUCCUGUAAGUGACUCCCUACAACACUGAUUCCAAUACAGCACUGAUUUGGGACAUCAAACAGCUCAUUGGUCUCUGACAUAAUGCCACUUCUAAAGCUUCUUGAUAUUAAAAAAUAAUAUACUAUCUGUAAUUUAUUAAGUCCUAUAAUAAGCACUUAGUGCAAUACUUCAUUAAAUUCACACAAUCACUCUAAAAUAGGUAUUAUGAUCCUUAUUUGACUGAAAAAAGACACUGUUUAGGUCAUUUCAAGCACCAGUUGAGAUAGUAAUUUUAAAAGUAAAAUUCCAUUCUCAGCCUACCUGGCGUGUUCAACAACCUCAACAUCUUACAGAAAUAGGAGAUGUACUGCUCAUAGUACUUGGCGCUGUUAGUGAUGGUGCUGAUCUGGUCCAUGGAGGUGAUGUAAAUGAGCUGGGUCACUGUGUAUUUUUCUGGAUUGUAGCCCACCAAGGUCAUCUGCAACUGCAAAUCUUGAGACACUGUGGUACAUACUUUGUCCUCUGUGGGGAGAAAAAUGCCACAACAAUGGGGCAUUAAUAUGCAAAUGCAUCUUCAAAUGUCAGAAAAUAAGUGAGUUACACUCUCACUGAUGUUUUCCCUGAAUCGCUGUGUAUGUGUGCAUGCGUGCAUAGUUGCGUCUUAACUCUUUUCCAGGCAAGAAUAUAGGAACAGGUUGCCAUUUCCUACUCCAGGGGAUCUUUCUGGACCAGAGAUCAAACAGGUCUCUUGUGUUUCCUGCAUUAGCAGGCAGAUUCUUUACCACUGCACCACCUGGAAAGCAAGGAUA